CUCGUUUGCCCCCCUCCAUUUCCUUCUCUCUUAGUUUCCAUGCCUGCCAGUUAAACAUGAAAACUUUGCCUGGCAGCGUCUCCAGCGCAUACAGAGACAGACCUCCACCUCUUGUUUAUCCCUGUCAGCCAUCUGGACAGAACAAGACCAGAGGUUCAACCACAGGUAGUGACUCCAAAUUGCAGUUUCUCCAACUUUUUGGAGCUCUCUGUUCCUCGCUGGAGAAAGUACACACCAUGUAUGCAAUGUACAGUAUGCACAGCAUUGAAGAUGGUCGCGGGCGUGCUGGAGCCUAUCCCAGGUGUCAUCGGGCAGGAGGCGGAGUACACCCUGAACUGGUUGCCAGCCAAUCGCAGGCCACAUAGAAACAAACAACCAUUCGCACUCACAGUCAUGCCUACGGGCAAUUUAGAGUCUCCAAUUAAUGCAUGUUUUUGGGAUGUGGGAGGAAACCGGAGUGCCCGGAGAAAACCCACGCAGGCACGGGGAGAACAUGCAAACUCCACACAGGCGGGGCUGGGGAUUGAACCUGGGUCCCCAGAACUGUGAGGCUGACGCUCUAACCCUUCGGCCACCGUGCCGCCGCCGCAGUUUAUUCCACUAAACUGAAAAGUAUUAUCUCACUUUUAGUUUGGGUAAGCAAAAUCCUCAUAGGCAAUUUCCAGGGACCAUGUUGUAAUAGACUCUGUGCCCCAACUAUUCCCCCGGUGCGUCAUCCACAAAUA